AUGAGGGACACUUGAGAAGCAUCUCUGGAGAGCACUGUUGGUGGAUGUAAUUCACAAACUCUCCCCAAAAGAAGAGCUGUCUCUGCAGCAGCUGGGAAAUGCAGACAGCAUGAUGGCUAGAAGGAAGAAAUCACUACAGAAAACGGAAGAUUCUGCAUACUUUCCUAGCAGACCUUUACAAAAAAGUGGACUUUUCAGUCUGCCCUGCUCCACCUAUAAAGAGGGCUCCAGGAUUCCCAAAUAAGGCAACAGGUUCCUGCCUGUCACUGCCUGUGAUCAUGGCUGAGCUAUGUGUUGGGGAACCAAGGAAACAGAAAAACCACAACCUUUUUUGGAAAGCCUCCUGCCUUUCUGCAUGGAGAAAUAGGAGGAUUGCUUUGGUGAUUCAUCCCCUGAAGGCUGAGACGAGGUUCACAGGAGACCCAGAGCUGAGAACCUGAGAAGUGAAGGAGGAAGGCGCAGGCCUGAGUUCCAGCUCUGCCCGGACCGUCACCAUCGUUUAGUUCUGAAUCAUCCUGACUUUGGGAAAUGUAGAACUGGACUAUUUCCUUCUGAUGAUUUUGAGGACCCAUGUUUCUAGAAGAGGAUGGUCCUGCUGAAUUUCAUCAUGGAUAGAGUUUAAUUUUAAAACAGAAAUGAAGGAUGGGGGAAGAAGACCUUGAUCUUGGAAGAUGGAAAAUAUCCCCUUCCGUCUCAGCGCCCAGCGGGGUAAACGGUUCUCUGUAUUCCUCUGUGCAUCACCUGCUCCCUGACACUGAGACUGUGUCUGCGUUGCUUAUCACUGUAUCCCCACGCCUAGCAUGAUGCCUAGCACGCUGCAAGCAGUAAAUAUGUAUUUGCUGAAUGGAUGAAUGACAGAAUGAAUAAAUGCUAACAAUGUUGACCAGCAUGCAGCUAAAGAUACACCCUUAAAGUAAUUAUACUUAAAGUUACAAGACUUCUUCCUUACUCUCAUUAUGUUUAAGACACAAAGUUUUAUAGGAAAAACAAAAAUAAAUGGAUCAACUUGUUACCCAGCUUUUACCGAACCACCAUUUGGGGGUCCUAUUUAUAGUGUGUUCUCUGUAGCUGGGUGGAAAUGGGUUGGUUUUACUUUUCAGGACAU